rnacentral:rRNA from 1 species
AACCAGGAUUAGAUACCCCUGGUAGUCCCACGCCGUAAACGAUGAGAACUAGAUGUCGGGAGGGUUUGGCCUUUCGGUGUCGCAGCUAACGCAUUAAAGUUCUCCCGCCUGGGGAGUACGCCGGCAACGGUAAAACUCAAAGGAAUUGACGGGGACCCGCACAAGCCGGUGGAGCAUGUGGUUUAAUUCGAUGCAACGCGAAGAACCUUACCUGCCCUUGACAUCCUCGGAACUUGUCAGAGAUGACUUGGUGCCUUCGGGAACCGAGUGACAGGUGCUGCAUGGCUGUCGUCAGCUCGUGUCGUGAGAUGUUGGGUUAAGUCCCGCAACGAGCGCAACCCUUGUCCCUAGUUGCCAGCGGUUCGGCCGGGAACUCUAGGGAGACUGCCAGCGACAAGCUGGAGGAAGGCGGGGACGACGUCAAGUCAUCAUGGCCCUUAUGGGCAGGGCUAACACACGUGCUACAAUGGCCGGUACAGAGGGUUGCCAACCCGCAAGGGGGA